rnacentral:rRNA from 1 species
AGUGGCGAACGAGAUAGUAACACAUGGAUUAUCUACCCCUGUCUCAGAAAUAACCACGAGAAAUCGUGGCUAAUGUCUGAUGGUCUUCGAUUCGCAAGAACCGAAGUAAAGGCUUCGGCCGGAUAGGGAGGAGUCUGUGCAAUAUCAGCUAGUUGGUAGGGUAAAGGCCUACCAAGGCUAUGACGUUUAGGGGGCGUGAGAGCGCGAUCCCCAUCAAUGGCACUGCGACACGGGCCAUACACCUACGGGUGGCAGCAGUCGAGAGUCUUCCACAAUGGGCGAAAGCCUGAUGGAGCGACGCCGCGUGCAGGAUGAAGGGCUUCGGCCUGUAAACUGCUUUUCUGCGUGAGAAAAUACGCGCUUCGGCGCGUUUUGAUGUUAGCGUAGGAAUAAGGGGUUGCUAAACUCGUGCCAGCAGCAGCGGUAAUACGAGUGCCCCGAGCGUUAUCCGGAAUCACUGGGCGUAAAGGGUGUGUAGGAGGUUGCGUUAGUCCUGUCUUAAAGGUUUCGGCUUAACCGAAAACAUGGAUAGGAAACGGCGCGACUAGAGAGUGCGAGAGGUGUGCGGAACUCAUGGUGUAGGGGUGAAAUCCGUUGAUAUCAUGGGGAACACCAAAGGCGAAGGCAGCACACUGGCGCAUUUCUGACUCUGAAACACGAAAGCGUGGGCAUAAAAAAGGAUUAGAUACCCUUGUAUUCCACGCCCUAAACGAUGUUCUCUGGCUUUUUGAAGUAUCGACCCUUCGAGAGGCGAAGCUAACGCGUUAAGAGAACCGCCUGGGAAGUACGGCCGCAAGGCUAAAACUCAAAGGAAUAGACGGGGACUUGCACAAGCAGUGGAACAUGUGGUUUAAUUCGACGAUAAACGAAGAACCUCACCAGGGCUGGAAAUCCAGACGAACUCUGACGGAAACGUUGGAGGUCUCACAAGGACGGCUGGACAGGUGAUGCAUGGCUGUCGUCAGUUCGUGGUUUGAAUUGUUCCCUUAAGUGGGGCAACGAACGCAACCCUUAUUGCCUGUUAUAUUUGUCAGGCGAGACUGCCGUUUUACGGAGGAAGGAGAGGAUGACGCCAAGUCAGCAUGUCCCUUUGAUGCCCUGGGCUACACACAUGUUACAAUGGCCGGUACAAUGGGCCGCUAAGCCGAAAGGCGGAGCUAAUCCCAUCAAAGCCGGUCUAAGUUCGGAUUGAGGUCUGCAACUCGACCUCAUGAAGCUGGAAUUGCUAGUAAUCGCGGGUCAGCUAUACCGCGGUGAAUACGUUCUCAAGUCUUGUACUCACCGCCCGUCAACUCAAGGGAGCCGGGAGUACCCGAAGGUCCGCUUCGCGCGGGACUAAGGUAAGUCCGGUGACAGGGAGUAAGUCGUAACAAGGUAACC